UUUAAGAUGGCAGAAUAGUGCAAUAGAUUUAAGAUCUAUACAAAAAGGUUAAACCCCUUUUCUUAAAA
rnacentral:tRNA from 1 species